rnacentral:rRNA from 1 species
ACUGCUCAGUAACACGUGGACAAUCUGCCCUGAAGUGGAGAAUAAUCCCGGGAAACUGGGGGUAAUACUCCAUAGUUCGUUAUUACUGGAAUGUUUUUCGAACGAAAGAUCCGUCGCUUCAGGAUGAGUCUGCGGCCGAUUAGGUAGUUGUUGGGGUAAUUGCCCAACAAGCCUGUAAUCGGUACGGGUUGUGGGAGCAAGAGCCCGGAGAUGGAUUCUGAGACACGAAUCCAGGCCCUACGGGGCGCAGCAGGCGCGAAAACUUUACCAUGCGGGCAACCGUGAUAAGGAAACCCCGAGUGCCAGCACAGGCUGGCUGUCCGCCAGUUUAAACAACUGGCGAAGAAAGGGCCGGGCAAGACCGGUGCCAGCCGCCGCGGUAAUACCGGCGGCUCGAGUGGUGGCCGCUAUUACUGGGCUUAAAGGGUCCGUAGCUUGAUAAUAGGGUCCCUUGAGAAAUCCGCCGGCUUAACUGGCGGGCGUUCAGGGGAAACUUGUUUUCUAGGGACCGGGAGAGGUGAGGGGUACUGCCGGGGUAGGAGUGAAAUCCUGUAAUCCCGGUGGGACCACCUAUGGCGAAGGCAUCUCACCAGAACGGGUCCGACAGUGAGGGACGAAAGCUGGGGGAGCAAACCGGAUUAGAUACCCGGGUAGUCCCAGCUGUAAACGAUGCGCGUUAGGUGUGUCAGUGAUCACGUGUCACUGAGAUGCCGAAGGGAAACCGUGAAACGCGCCGCCUGGGGAGUACGGUCGCAAGGCUGAAACUUAAAGGAAUUGGCGGGGGAGCAC